AUUCCAGCUCCAAUAGCGUAUAUUAAAGUUGUUGCGGUUAAAAAGCUCGUAGUUGGAGUUCUGCCAGGUGCCACCUGUCCGCCCCAGUGGUGAGUACGUGGUGCGCAUUUGGCCCUUUCAAGGGGAGCGUAUUUGCACUUAAUUGUGUGGUGCGGGAUCCUUGACUUUUACUUUGAGGAAAUAAGAGUGUUCCAAGCAGGCUCUCGUCGUGCAUAGCUCAGCAUGGAAUAAUAGCAUUGGACCUCGAUUCUAAGCUGUUGGUUGCCAGAAGCGAGGUAAUGAUUAAUAGCGAUAGUUGGGGGUAUUCAUAUUUAAUUGUCAGAGGUGAAAUUCUUGGAUUUAUGAAAGAUGAACUUAUGCGAAAGCAUUUACCAAGGAUGUUUUCAUCA
rnacentral:rRNA from 1 species